UUAAGUGACUAAGCGUACACGGUGGAUGCCUUGGCAGUUGGAGGCGAUGAAGGACGUAUUAACUUGCGAUAAGCCUAGUCAAGCUAGUAAAAAGCGCUUGAGACUAGGAUUUCCGAAUGGGGAAACCCACCUGCUUGCAGGUAUCUUGCACUGAAUACAUAGGUGUAAGAGGCGAACGCGGAGAACUGAAACAUCUAAGUACCCGUAGGAACAGAAAUCAACCGAGAUUCCGGAAGUAGCGGCGAGCGAAACCGGACCAGCCCUUAAGCUUAUUAUGUGUUAGUGGAACAUUCUGGAAAGUUUGACGAUACAGGGUGAUAGUCCCGUACACGAAAAUGCAUCUUAAGUGAAAUCGAGUAGGUCGGAGCACGUGAAACUUUGACUGAAUAUAGGUGGACCAUCAUCUAAGGCUAAAUACUCCCAACUGACCGAUAGUGAACCAGUACCGUGAGGGAAAGGCGAAAAGAACCCCUGUGAGGGGAGUGAAAUAGAACCUGAAACCGUGUACGUACAAGCAGUAGGAGCCCUUCGAGGGUGACUGCGUACCUUUUGUAUAAUGGGUCAGCGACUUAUAUUUUGUAGCGAGGUUAACCGAUUAGGGUAGCCGUAGGGAAACCGAGUCUUAACUGGGCGUAUAGUUGCAAGGUAUAGACCCGAAACCCGGUGAUCUAGCCAUGGGCAGGUUGAAGGUUGAGUAACAUCAACUGGAGGACCGAACCCACUAACGUUGAAAAGUUAGGGGAUGACCUGUGGCUAGGAGUGAAAGGCUAAUCAAACCGGGAGAUAGCUGGUUCUCCCCGAAAUCUAUUUAGGUAGAGCCUCGGACGAAUACUUACGGGGGUAGAGCACUGUUAAGGCUAGGGGGUCAUCCCGACUUACCAACCCUUUGCAAACUCCGAAUACCGUAAAGUACUAUCCGGGAGACACACGGCGGGUGCUAACGUCCGUCGUGAAGAGGGAAACAACCCAGACCGCCAGCUAAGGUCCCAAAGUCAUAGUUAAGUGGGAAACGAUGUGGAAAGGCCCAGACAGCCAGGAGGUUGGCUUAGAAGCAGCCAUCCUUUAAAGAAAGCGUAAUAGCUCACUGGUCGAGUCGGUCUGCGCGGAAGAUGUAACGGGGCUAAACUAUGCACCGAAGCUGCGGAUUCAAACUAUGUUUGAGUGGUAGGGGAGCGUUCUGUAAGCCGUUGAAGGUGUACCGGGAGGUAUGCUGGAGGUAUCAGAAGUGCGAAUGCUGACAUGAGUAACGAUAAUGCGGGUGAAAAACCCGCACGCCGGAAGACCAAGGGUUCCUAUCCCAUGUUAAUCAGGGUAGGGUAAGUCGACCCCUAAGGCGAGGCCGAAAGGCGUAGUCGAUGGGAAACGGGUUAAUAUUCCCGUACUUGGUAUAAUUGCGAUGGGGGGACGGAGCAGGCUAAACAAGCAUGGCGUUGGUUGUCCAUGUGAAAGUGAGUAGGUUGGUGACUUAGGAAAAUCCGGGUUGCUAAGACUGAGACACGAGACGAGCACCCAAGGGUGUGAAGUUGUUGAUGCCAUACUUCCAGGAAAAGCCUCUAAGCUUCAGAUUAUACCGAAUCGUACCCCAAACCGACACAGGUGGUCAGGUAGAGAAUACUAAGGCGCUUGAGAGAACUCGGGUGAAGGAACUAGGCAAAAUCGUACCGUAACUUCGGGAGAAGGUACGCUCCUAUCUGUGAUGAGACUUGCUCUCUAAGCGGACGGGAGCCGCAGUGACCAGGUGGCUGGGACUGUUUAUUAAAAACACAGCACUGUGCAAAAUCGCAAGAUGACGUAUACGGUGUGACACCUGCCCGGUGCCGGAAGGUUAAUUGAUGGGGUUAGUUUUCGGACGAAGCUCUUGAUCGAAGCCCCGGUAAACGGCGGCCGUAACUAUAACGGUCCUAAGGUAGCGAAAUUCCUUGUC
rnacentral:rRNA from 1 species